UUUAAGUUUUAACUGAAAAUUGUUUUUAAAUAUUUUGUAUUAAGAAUAAAGUUGUUCAGAUAAUUAUUGUUUGAUUGUUUCCGUUACUGACUUAUUCAGUAUUUUCCAAGUACUAGUUAUCAUAUAAACAUUUUCGUUCUAAUUAUGAUUGCAAUACAGCAGACAAUGAAAGCCAUGGUGAGACAUGAAUUCGCGAUUCUAUCAGUUUGGAAAAUAUAAACAUCCUACGAUGACAAUGGACUAGAAGAUACUGAUAAUAAUAAUUGUUUUAUUCAACAUGGCAAUACAGCAGAUGACUCAAGGAAUGCUGAGACAUUUAUUCAUAUGCAUACAACUUUGGAAAAGUAUGAACAUCCAAUGUUGAAAAUGAACUAAAAGAUACUGAUUAUAAAGAAUUAAUGCAAUGUACGUGUAAUGAUUAUUGGCUGUAGUUGAUAGAAAAUUAAUAGCAAUGUAUCUAAAAGUUACUCAAAUGCUUCCCUGUCCAUAAUAUUAAUUAAAUUAUUUUAAUUUACCAUUA